UGAGGCUCCGAGCACGACGCAGUCCAAGGGAGGGUCCGGGCUCGGUGCAGCCCCCGGGACGGAUCGGUGCAGCCCGGGGCGGGGGGCGGGGGGGUCUGGGCUCGCUGCGGGCUCCGGAGCAGGGUCGCUGGAGGGCGGCUGUUGUCCGGGCUCAGCGCGGCUCUGGGGAGGCGGCUCCUCCGCCCUCCUUGGCCGAGAGCGAGUGGCCGCGUGGCCCCGGCUGCCCGCGCGGCCCUGGCCCAUCGUGGGCUCGGGGAGAGGGGCACAGUCAGACCCUAGGGCCAGCCUAGAUUCCGGUGAGUGAACCUUGCGUCACGAGGGGCUGUGUGGGGCCCGAAAAGAGCGCCGAGGCGGGCCGGUGAGAAGUACGCAGGAUACGCAGUCCUGCUGGUUAAAGGGACAAUUAUUUGUUUGUUGGCAAAAGCAUUUUACACCGUUUUCGUUUCCAGUGGGUCGGAGGAAGACGGUUGAUUCCCGAGGGGUAGGAUGGGCCGUUGAUGCGUCGGCUGACUUUCCCACACCAGAUCAGCGUGUUCACCUCUGGAGAACUCAGGGCCCAGAGAAAAUCAGGAAAACCUCAAUCAUGAGAAAGACAUCACACCCAAAUUGAGAGACGUUCCACCACACACCUGACUGGUGGUCUUCACGAGUCUCAAGGUCAUGAAAGACCAAGAAAGACGGGAUUGGAGGAGAGUGAGGAGACACAACAGGACAGUUCAAUACAGUUGGCUCUCCUGGGUCAGCUUCGGGACCAGAGAACGGACAUUAAUGGGAAAACUGGUGGAUUCAGGGCAUCCUUACGGCAAAACACCUCUGAGAUCGCCCAGCCUAAUGCCCUCUGUUAUCCUGACAAAUGCGAAAAAAGUAAGCUACCUAAAGUUACCUGACUUCCUAGCGCCUGGGCCCGUACGGGAACGCCAACGCUGUUCUUUCGUUCUGCAAGUGUCCAAACAAUCACCCAGAGGAUUAGAAAAUUGUCGGAAUGAUUUUUUUAAAUGUUCGUCUAGUGAACAUUCGCUCUGCCUCCGGCAGGUUCCAGGUUCUGGGGUGACAACCGCCUGCUAGCAGCUCGGAGCCCAGGUGACUCCACUUUGGGGCUGGAAGAGACUUGUUAUCCGGUGCCCGGGGCCUCUUCCCGAGCACGGCCAGCGCACAGACGGCGGUCAAGGGGAUUUUCCAUCCGAAGGAUUGCCCAAGAAAGCCGGCUUCUGUCCCCAUAGUGUCAAGUACAGAGUUGCAAAGUCAUGCCCAGCACACGCUGUCACGGCCUAACGGAGGGAACAGGCUGCUCCUUCUCUCCCCUUCCUCCCCCUCCGCCUUUGCACACGCACACGUUUCCCACGCGCCCUCACCGCCUCCCUUCCCAGGAUCUUCGUAACCCUCAGCAACGAGGCACUCUCCAACGACCGCUUUUGCUCGGACAGCGGUCACUGUUUGGCACGUAGCAUACCAUCUGACAUACACUCAACUUCUCAACUAAAGAGCGUGAAAAAAAGGAGUAACUGACAAAUCCAGCUAGAAGAUUAGAGGUUGGGGCGCUUGGGUGGCUCUGUCGGUCGAAUGUCUGACUUGGGCUCAGGUCAUGAUCU